GGGUGAAAACAAAAAGAAAUCAGAUUUACAUAAACUUCAUCUUUGGAUUUAUUUAUGAAGUUAUCAAAUACAUCAUUUCUGAAGUUAUAUAUCCAAAACAAUCACAGUACAUGUUUCAUCAGAUCUAUUAAAACACUUGGGUAUUGCCUCAUGUUAUAAAUCUGAUAAAAGGUUGUUGUUGGUGCUUUGAAUAUAUUUUAAUACAAUAUAAUAACUAACUUUCUUUUCUGCUCUCUCAGUCCCUGCUGUACAAUUGUACAAACAUGUACAUACUACAUUUAGACACAAGACGUACAUUUAAAUUUAAUGUAGUGUGAAUUAAAAAAUUAAAUGUCACUCUGUGUAGUACUUUUUAUUGUCAAUAAAAGAGUUGCACCAUAAUUAUACUUGAUUACAGUAAUUGGUGAGUGACUAAUUAUUAUCAUAACUUCAAUUUGUUCUUCUCCAUUUUGGCAUCCUGUGCCAUCUCUUCUGGUACCUGUAUUAAACAUCUCAGAUAAAUCCUGUAAAAAAAGAUAA